UACGUAGGGGGGCAAGCGUUGUCCGGAUUUAUUGGGCGUAAAGGGCGCGUAGGCGGUUUCUUAAGUUUGGAGUGACAGUGGGUGGCUUAACUACCCAAGGCCUCUGAAAACUGGGGAACUUGAGGACCAGAGAGGGACAUAGAAUUCCGGGUGGAGUGGUGAAAUGCGUAGAUAUCCGGAGGAAUACCAAAGGCGAAGGCAGUGUCCUGGAGGGUGACUGACGCUGAGGCGCGAAAGCUAGGGGAGCGAACAGG
rnacentral:rRNA from 1 species